GCAAGUCGAACGGUGACCCAUCUUCGGAUGGCGAUCAGUGGCGAACGGGUGAGUAACACGUGGGCAACCUGCCCCUAGCUCUGGGAUAACUCCUCGAAAGAGGUGCUAAUACCGGAUAUCAUCUUCCUCGGCAUCGGGGAAGGUCGAAAGUUUUUCGGCUAGGGAUGGGCCCGCGGCCUAUCAGCUUGUUGGUGGGGUAAUGGCCUACCAAGGCGACGAUGGAUAGCCGGCCUGAGAGGGUGAAC
rnacentral:rRNA from 1 species